rnacentral:rRNA from 1 species
UAGGGAAUCUUCGGCAAUGGGGGGAACCCUGACCGAGCAACGCCGCGUGAGUGAAGAAGGUUUUCGGAUCGUAAAGCUCUGUUGUUAAGGAAGAACGAGUGUGAGAAUGGAAAGUUCAUACUGUGACGGUACUUAACCAGAAAGGGACGGCUAACUACGUGCCAGCAGCCGCGGUAAUACGUAGGUCCCGAGCGUUGUCCGGAUUUAUUGGGCGUAAAGCGAGCGCAGGCGGUCAAUUAAGUCUGAUGUGAAAGCCCCCGGCUCAACCGGGGAGGGUCAUUGGAAACUGGUUGACUUGAGUGCAGAAGAGGAGAGUGGAAUUCCAUGUGUAGCGGUGAAAUGCGUAGAUAUAUGGAGGAACACCAGUGGCGAAGGCGACUCUCUGGUCUGUAACUGACGAUGAGGCUCGAAAGCGUGGGUAGCAAACAGG